GAAAUAUUUUUUUCUCACUUGACUUUCAGGGCUUCCAUACUUUGAUUAAAACACCGCCUGUCUUUCAGGGGAAGGAGUUUCCCUGGAGUGAAGAGGAUAAUGAUGAAGAAUGAGAUCUGAUCUGUACAUUUACCCUCCAACAUUUGAUUUAACACCGUCCUCCUCCCAGCUGGAGUGAAGUUCAGGCUCCCUCCAAUCACCACGAAGCCCUGCAACCACAACAACACAGGCUUUGUAGAACGAAGGAUCAGACGGUUUCCUUUGAUGUCGACCUUGAUAUCCACCUGGCAGGCCUGCAGGAAAUCAUGGAUGUAUUAUAAGAGCUGGAUAAUAGACUAAAAAUGGCACCCAUUCAGUCCUAUAGGUUUGGCUUUGGCUAGGUUUGUGAUGCCGCAGUCACUUCCUGAUGUGACUUAUGGAUGUGUUUACCAGAUAAUUAUUCUUUAAGUUUUAAUUGUACAACUUGAUUUAGGAAAUCACUAGUUUGAAAACUUCAAGUGUUCAUCUGUCGUCAUAGACAACGUUAAAACCGAAGUAUCUGUUCUGUGAGAUGGACGUUAAAAACACUGCAGCGAUGAAUUGUUCAGUCUGGUUGUAUUUGUGUGUGUGUGUGUGUGUUG